rnacentral:rRNA from 1 species
ACUAAGUUUCAACAACGGAUCUCUUGGCUCUCGCAUCGAUGAAGAACGCAGCGAAAUGCGAUAAGUAAUGUGAAUUGCAGAAUUCAGUGAAUCAUCGAAUCUUUGAACGCACCUUGCGCUCCUUGGUAUUCCUUGGAGCAUGCCAGUUUGAGUAUCAUGAAAU